rnacentral:rRNA from 1 species
UGCGUAGACGGUUAUGUAAGUCGGGUGUGAAAGCCCCGGGCUCAACCUGGGAAUGCCAUUCGAGACUGCAUAGCUAGGGUGCGGAAGAGGGAAGCGGAAUUUCCGGUGUAGCGGUGAAAUGCGUAGAUAUCGGAAGGAACACCAGUGGCGAAAGCGGCUUCCUGGUCCAGCACCGACGUUCAGGCACGAAAGCGUGGGGAGCAAACAGGAUUAGAUACCCUGGUAGUCCACGCCAUAAACGAUGAGAACUAGACGUUGAGAGGGUAAGCCUCGCAGUGUCGUAGCUAACGCGCUAAAGUUCUCCGCCUGGGGAGUACGGCCGCAAGGUUGAA